UACGUAGGGGGCAAGCGUUGUCCGGAUUUAUUGGGCGUAAAGAGCGUGUAGGCGGCCUGACAGGUCUGCUGUGAAAACUCGAGGCUCAACCUCGAGAUGUCGGCGGAAACCGUCUGGCUAGAGUCCGGAAGAGGAGAGUGGAAUUCCUGGUGUAGCGGUGAAAUGCGCAGAUAUCAGGAAGAACACCUAUGGCGAAGGCAGCUCUCUGGGACGGUACUGACGCUGAGACGCGAAAGCUAGGGGAGCGAACAGG
rnacentral:rRNA from 1 species